rnacentral:rRNA from 1 species
AGAGUUUGAUCCUGGCUCAGGAUGAACGCUAGCUACAGGCUUAACACAUGCAAGUCGAGGGGCAGCAUCAUCAAAGCUUGCUUUGAUGGAUGGCGACCGGCGCACGGGUGAGUAACACGUAUCCAACCUGCCGACAACACUGGGAUAGCCUUUCGAAAGAAAGAUUAAUACCGGAUGGCAUAGUUUUCCCGCAUGGGAUAAUUAUUAAAGAAUUUCGGUUGUCGAUGGGGAUGCGUUCCAUUAGGCAGUUGGCGGGGUAACGGCCCACCAAACCUACGAUGGAUAGGGGUUCUGAGAGGAAGGUCCCCCACAUUGGAACUGAGACACGGUCCAAACUCCUACGGGAGGCAGCAGUGAGGAAUAUUGGUCAAUGGACGAGAGUCUGAACCAGCCAAGUAGCGUGAAGGAUGACUGCCCUAUGGGUUGUAAACUUCUUUUAUACGGGAAUAAAGUUAGCCACGUGUGGUUUUUUGUAUGUACCGUAUGAAUAAGGAUCGGCUAACUCCGUGCCAGCAGCCGCGGUAAUACGGAGGAUCCGAGCGUUAUCCGGAUUUAUUGGGUUUAAAGGGAGCGUAGGCGGGUUGUUAAGUCAGUUGUGAAAGUUUGCGGCUCAACCGUAAAAUUGCAGUUGAUACUGGCGACCUUGAGUGCAACAGAGGUAGGCGGAAUUCGUGGUGUAGCGGUGAAAUGCUUAGAUAUCACGAAGAACUCCGAUUGCGAAGGCAGCUUACUGGAUUGUAACUGACGCUGAUGCUCGAAAGUGUGGGUAUCAAACAGGAUUAGAUACCCUGGUAGUCCACACAGUAAACGAUGAAUACUCGCUGUUGGCGAUAUACGGUCAGCGGCCAAGCGAAAGCAUUAAGUAUUCCACCUGGGGAGUACGCCGGCAACGGUGAAACUCAAAGGAAUUGACGGGGGCCCGCACAAGCGGAGGAACAUGUGGUUUAAUUCGAUGAUACGCGAGGAACCUUACCCGGGCUUAAAUUGCAACUGACUGAACCGGAAACGGUUCUUUCUUCGGACAGUUGUGAAGGUGCUGCAUGGUUGUCGUCAGCUCGUGCCGUGAGGUGUCGGCUUAAGUGCCAUAACGAGCGCAACCCUUAUCGAUAGUUACUAGCAGGUCAUGCUGAGGACUCUAUUGAGACUGCCGUCGUAAGAUGUGAGGAAGGUGGGGAUGACGUCAAAUCAGCACGGCCCUUACGUCCGGGGCUACACA